GUCUCUGGGGCACAAUCAGUGAGUGGGUUCAGCUGUUAACUGAAAGGCUGGUGGUUCAAACCCACACAGGGACA
rnacentral:tRNA from 1 species